AGUUCUCAGUGUUCUGGGAAUGUUAUUCAUCGAUGCGUUUUGGCAGCAAAAUAGGCUUCUGGUUUAAGAACCCCCUGAUCCUGCUGCUGCUGGGCUCUGCCCUGGUGAGUGUCCUCACCAAGGAGUAUGAGGACGCCGUCAGCAUCGCCACGGCAGUGCUCAUCGUGGUCACUGUGGCCUUCAUCCAGCCUAAGAGAAGGAAAACUCCAGCACCUGCUUGCUCGAGAACUGGUUCCUGGUGAUGUCGUAUCUCUCUCGAUCGGAGACCGGAUCCCUGCAGACAUCCGACUCACUGAGGUCACGGACCUCUUGGUGGAUGAAUCCAGCUUCACCGGGGAAGCCGAGCCAUGUAGUAAAACAGACAGCCCCUUGACAGGCGGUGGGGACCUCACCACCCUCAGCAACAUCGUCUUCAUGGGGACCCUGGUGCAGUAUGGGAGGGGCCAGGGGGUCGUGAUUGGAACAGGGGAAAGCUCUCAGUUCGGAGAAGUGUUUAAGAUGAUGCAGGCUGAAGAGACACCUAAAACUCCUUUGCAGAAAAGCAUGGACAGGCUAGGAAAGCAACUGACACUCUUCUCCUUUGGCAUAAUCGGUCUCAUCAUGCUCAUUGGCUGGUUGCAAGGGAAACAACUCCUGAGUAUGUUCACGAUUGGGGUCAGCCUGGCUGUGGCGGCCAUUCCAGAGGGUCUGCCCAUCGUCGUCAUGGUGACGCUGGUCCUGGGAGUGCUGCGGAUGGCCAAGAAGCGGGUCAUCGUGAAGAAGUUACCCAUCGUGGAGACUUUAGGUUGCUGCAGCGUUCUCUGUUCUGAUAAGACGGGGACUCUGACUGCCAAUGAAAUGACAGUGACCCAGCUUGUAACGUCAGAUGGGCUUCGUGCCGAGGUCAGCGGAGUUGGGUAUGACGGUCAAGGGACUGUGUGUCUUCUACCAUCCAAGGAAGUCAUUAAGGAAUUUUCCAAUGUCUCAGUGGGAAAGUUAGUGGAGGCGGGCUGUGUUGCCAACAAUGCGGUCAUCAGAAAGAACGCCGUGAUGGGGCAGCCCACCGAGGGUGCAUUGAUGGCCCUGGCGAUGAAGAUGGACUUAAGUGAUAUUAAAAAUUCAUAUAUAAGAAAAAAAGAGAUUCCAUUCAGUUCAGAGCAGAAGUGGAUGGCGGUGAAAUGCAGUCUGAAGACUGAGGAUCAGGAAGACAUUUACUUCAUGAAAGGGGCCUUGGAAGAGGUGAUCCGCUACUGCACCAUGUACAACAACGGGGGCAUCCCCCUGCCGCUGACGCCCCAGCAGAGGUCAUUCUGCCUGCAGGAAGAGAAGAGGAUGGGGUCGCUCGGUCUGCGGGUGCUGGCCCUGGCUUCUGGGCCCGAGCUGGGGCGGCUGACGUUUCUAGGUCUUGUGGGCAUCAUCGACCCCCCGAGAGCUGGCGUGAAGGAAGCAGUCCAGGUUCUCUCCGAGUCUGGUGUGUCUGUGAAGAUGAUAACGGGAGAUGCCCUGGAGACGGCCUUGGCCAUAGGAAGAAACAUCGGCCUGUGCAACGGGAAGCUGCAAGCCAUGUCCGGGGAGGAGGUGGACGGCGUGGAGAAGGACGAGCUGGCCGACCGCGUGGGGAAGGUGUCCGUGUUCUUCAGGACCAGCCCAAAGCACAAGCUCAAAAUCAUCAAGGCUCUGCAGGAGUCAGGGGCGAUCGUGGCCAUGACUGGGGAUGGGGUGAACGACGCAGUGGCCCUGAAGUCUGCAGACAUUGGGAUCGCCAUGGGGCAGACAGGGACGGACGUCAGCAAAGAGGCCGCCAACAUGAUCCUGGUGGAUGAUGACUUCUCAGCCAUCAUGAAUGCAGUGGAGGAAGGCAAGGGGAUUUUUUACAACAUCAAAAACUUUGUCCGAUUCCAGCUGAGCACGAGCAUCUCUGCCCUGAGUCUCAUCACUCUGUCCACCGUGUUCAACCUGCCCAGCCCCCUCAACGCCAUGCAGAUCCUAUGGAUCAACAUCAUCAUGGAUGGGCCACCGGCGCAGAGCUUGGGGGUAGAGCCCGUUGACAAAGACGCCUUCAGGCAGCCACCACGGAGUGUGCGGGACACCAUCCUCAGCAGAGCCCUCAUCCUGAAGAUCCUCAUGUCCGCAGCCAUCAUCAUCAAUGGGACCCUGUUUAUCUUCUGGAAGGAGAUGCCUGAAGACAGAGCAAGCACUCCCCGCACCACGACGAUGACGUUCACUUGUUUUGUGUUUUUCGAUCUCUUCAACGCCUUGACCUGCCGCUCUCAGACCAAGCUGAUAUUUGAGAUCGGCUUUCUCAGGAACCACAUGUUCCUCUACUCCGUCCUGGGGUCCAUCCUGGGGCAGCUGGCAGUCAUUUACAUCCCCCCGCUGCAGAGGGUCUUCCAGACGGAGAACCUGGGAGCGCUUGAUUUGCUGUUUUUAACUGGAUUGGCCUCAUCCGUCUUCAUUUUGUCAGAGCUCCUCAAACUAUGUGAAAAAUACUGUUGCAGCCCCAAGAGAGUCCAGAUGCACCCUGAAGAUGUGUAGUGGACCUCACUCCGCGGCACCUUCCCUAAUCAUCUUGAUCUGGUUGUGACUGUGGCCCCUGCCAUGUCUCCUCUUCAGGGGAGACUUUUAGGAGGCCGCAGCCUUCCGUCACCGGAUCAGUUUUUCCUCUUCGGAAAGCUGCAGGAACCUCGUGGGCUCCAGGGACCCAGGCCCACAUCCAUCCAGCGUUCCCGCUGGCUGUGGGACAGACAGGGAGGGGCCUGUACAGAAACAUCACACUAUUUAUUAAAUCACAAUGAUUUUUAUU
rnacentral:sRNA from 1 species